GGGGGUGUAAGGUUUCGACAGAUAUCUAGAAGUAUAAAUAGCGAGUAGUGGAUUCUCGUUGGCCACUAUAAAAACGAGAAUUAAAAAUUAAACGCAGAUAGAAAUGAAUUUGCAUUAGCUGCCUAAGGUUGGCGGCAUGUUCAUACAUUCUUUGCUAGAGGGAAUAUAUGGGCAUCGACUUAUCUAGCUAACAAAUCUAACCUAUGACUUUAAGUUAGAGGGUAUUUUAAAGUCAUAUUGUAGCAUAUUUUUGUAAAUGUUCUAGUGCUAUAAUAUUAAAUUAAACAUUUACUGCACUCGGAGAAGUUUAUAUGAAAGGAUUUUUGGACACGAGUUCAAUUCUCGUCACCUCCACCA
rnacentral:tmRNA from 1 species